rnacentral:lncRNA from 1 species
AGAAGAGCAGAAAAUUCCACACCUGAAAAGAAAUCUCCAGUCCUAAGAUUUCUAGCUCUUGGGGAUUUGAAGCUGGUUUUAUGUAGCACUUCCUUUCGGUCUAGUGAUAGAGAUAAAAACAAGGCUGUUAUAUGAAAAUCAGCCUUCCUGUGAGAGUAAUUCUGAGUAGAAAAAUGGCACAGACCUGGCCUAACAGCCAUGAGAUGCUGAUGAGGGAUCCGUGUGACAUGUCCUGGGCGGCCUUUCACGCACACCCCACAGCUAAACCCUCAAGGUUCCUUGGAGAAUCCAUCAUCAACCGAAAUUGCUUUGCAUGAAGCCUUAGAUGACCUGUUCAGUGGCAGAUGGCCCAGACAGACCUCUUUGCUAGCUGCCAGCUAAUUAAUUUACCUCCAAAAUGCAAAAUAAGGCUUGCUGAGCUCGCUGCUUUUUCCUCCUCCUUCUCUCCCACCUCUGUUUUUUAAAAAAUAAAUCCUGUUUUUACCUUUGUUCACUAACAACGGUCUAAUGGCUGUCUCCUUUAUAUACAAAUGAAUUAUUUGGCAUGCAGAUAAUAAACUAUAUGUCUGAGUCAUUCUUUGACACAUGACAUUGUGGAGAUUUACUGUCACCUUAAAUGCAGUCCCUUACAAUAUUAGUAAAUGUUCUGUUUUGAUUUUUUUCAAAAUAAAUGCUACUUUUAAAGCCUGGAUUUAUAAUACAGAAAUGAAGGCAGAGGCCUUGUGGGAAUAGGAUGGCUCAUUAUACAAGAAGCCCUUGUACACGGUUGAUCCAGACGCCACAGAUAUUAAAAAUGCCUGGAAAUGUGUUGGCCGAAGAUACAAUUAAGUAUUUUAACCAGAAUUCUUCAGUUAAUAUCAAUACUGGGACUCGGACUUGCAAUUACCCAGGAGAUAAAUUCUGCAGACAUGAGGGAAGGUCGGAAUGAUGCUACAGACAGCAGGGAGAUCCUAAGUCAAAGCAAGACAAGCAGACACAUAAAUCGGAGGUUGAAUCCGUCACUUACAGCUGCUCCUGAUAAGAGAGGAGCAGUUCCAAGUGCCUUUGAGCCGGCAGCUGCCUCCUUGCUGGCUAUCAUUCCUUUGCCUGUAUCAUCUCGAGUUUCUCAUUUUGUCCAAAGUGCAGAGCCAAGAGCGCGUCUGCUCUCAAGCCUGGGACCCACUCACCUUAUCACUCUGGCAUAGCAUCUCACGAAGAGGCGAGCUUGUCUAUUUCCUUCCCCCAUCCUUCCCCGCCCCCACCCUUUUAGCAGUUUAUAACAAGUUGGUCUCUUGUAUACAGAAAAAGCAGGCCCUCAACAGGAUCUGACUAUGCUGUUUGGAACUGUUUACGACUUAUUUUGGACUCUCCAGGCAGGGCCAUAAAUACACAGUUAAUCUGCCUGAUAGCAAGAACAGCCACCUUGGCCCCUAGAGAUUAAUUAACCACAUGUGGAAUCACAAAGACCUCAUCUUUCCUGCACCAGCCAGCUGUCUGCAAGGCCGGUCCUCUGUGGAUCGGAUCGGGGGACUGAUGCCCCAGCCACCCCCUCUGGCCAUUUCCUUUCCCUGAACAGUCUUUCAGAUACCUGGUGCCAUCCUUGGUCCUUCCUGGCCCUCGGAAAAGAUCUAUCAGUUGCUUAAGCCAUUGGUCGUCUCUCUUAACUUAAAUUUGGAAUUUAAUCCCCAUCAUUGUGACUUGAAAAGCCUUGUCACCUCUUGUUUGGUCAUUGAGGGCUGCACUGUCCAAUAAGAUAGCCACUAGCCACAUGUGGCUAUUGAGACUUAAAUGAGUUAAAACUCACUAAAGUGAAAAAUUCAGUUUCUUAGUCACAUUAACCACAUGUGAAGUGCUCCCUAGACACAGGUGGCUGGAGGUUACUCUACUGAAAAUGCAGAUAUCGAAUAUUUCUGUCGUCACAAAAGGUUUUAUUGGACAGAGCUGAUUUAUGACAUUUGCACUGGGGAAGGAAGAGGUAGGAAAAAUAGCCUCUCCAGUUCAUAUUUUGGACUUUUUGCCAAACUGAACAUGGAAAAAAAUAGUAACAGUAGCUGGCAUUUACUGUGCUUUUACUAGAUGCCAGGCAGUGUGCUUACAGUAUGCUCUACUUCAUUGAAAUCUCAAAAUAAGCCUAGAAGGUAGACUAUUAUUGUGCCCAUUUUACAGAUGACAAUAAGAAAGGUUGAGUAACUCUCCCAAGAUCAU